CCCUUAGAUGUCCGGGGCCGCACGCGCGCUACACUGAAGGAAUCAGCGUGGCUUUCUCCCUGACCCGAAAGGGUUGGGAAACCCGUUGAAUCUCCUUCGUCAUAGGGAUUGGGGCUUGAAAUUGUUCCCCAUGAACGAGGAAUUCCCAGUAAGCGCGAGUCAUAAGCUCGCGUUGAUUACGUCCCUGCCCUUUGUACACACCGCCCGUCGCUACUACCGAUUGAACGGUUUAGUGAGGGCCUCGGAUUGGUCUCGGCCCGCUCUUUACCGGGCGGCGCCGUUGGUCGAGAAGACGCUCGAACUUGAUCGUUUAGAGGAAGUAAAAGUCGUAACA
rnacentral:rRNA from 1 species